GAAUAAAUCUGUAAGGUGAGGCUCCUAUACAAACAUAGGCCACUGCCCAAAAACGUCCAAAGACGCCAAUGGGUAGAACAGGGAUUGUCGGAUUAAGGCUUUCCAUAAUGUGGCUAAGAAAUGAUUUUUUUCUUUACGUUGCACAGUGCCAAAACUUUUGCGAGGGGAAAGCAUA
rnacentral:sRNA from 2 species